rnacentral:rRNA from 1 species
UGGGGAAUCUUGCACAAUGGGGGCAACCCUGAUGCAGCGACGCCGCGUGAGCGAUGAAGCCCUUCGGGACGUAAAGCUCUUUCGACCGGAACGAUAAUGACGGUACCGGGAGAAGAAGCUGCGGCUAACUACGUGCCAGCAGCCGCGGUAAUACGUAGGCAGCAAGCGUUGUUCGGAGUUACUGGGCGUAAAGAGUGCGUAGGCGGUUUUCUAAGUUCGGUGUGAAAUCUCCCGGCUUAACUGGGAGGGUGCGCCGAAGACUGGGAAGCUGGAGUGUGGGAAAGGCCGGCGGAAUUCCUGGUGUAGCGGUGAAAUGCGUAGAUAUCAGGAGGAACACCGGCGGUGUAGACGGCUUGCUAGACCAUAACUGACGCUGAGGCACGAAAGCGUGGGUAGCAAACA